rnacentral:piRNA from 1 species
UAUUAAAUUAUAUGAGUCAGUGUUGUGC